rfam:Camelus ferus unplaced genomic scaffold scaffold110127, whole genome shotgun sequence.
GAGGGUAUAGCUCAGUGGUAGAGUUUGUGCUUAGCAUGCAGGAGGUUCUGGGUUCAAUCCCCAGUACCUCCA